rnacentral:rRNA from 1 species
CAGCAGCCGCGGGAACACGGAGGGUGCAAGCGUUAAUCGGAAUUACUGGGCGUAAAGCGUGCGUAGGCGGUUCGUUAAGUCUGUUGUGAAAGCCCCGGGCUCAACCUGGGAAUGGCAAUGGAUACUGGCGAGCUAGAGUGUGUCAGAGGAUGGUGGAAUUCCCGGUGUAGCGGUGAAAUGCGUAGAGAUCGGGAGGAACAUCAGUGGCGAAGGCGGCCAUCUGGGACAACACUGACGCUGAGGCACGAAAGCGUGGGGAGCAAACAGGAUUAGAUACCCCAGUAGUCCCUGUCUCUUAUAC